GCAAUCGACCACACCAUACAGAAAAUGGCGCUUCCCGUUCGCUCAGCGCACCCAAGCUGUAUUGGGCCCGGCUAGUAGUCAAGUGGGUGACCAUUGGCGAAUCCCGGGUGUCGAUUGUU
rfam:Cyphellophora europaea CBS 101466 unplaced genomic scaffold supercont1.6, whole genome shotgun sequence.